rnacentral:ncRNA from 2 species
AUAUACAUCGUUUAAACAGGUGCUAUGCAUGUUAGAAUGUAUAGCUUAAUAGGGAAGUUCGGUGAAAAUCCGACACGGUACCCGCCACUGUAAUUCGGAGCGACCUGCACAAUGUCACUGCUUUAGUUUAAAGCGGGAAGGCGCAAGGAGCAAUGAAGGUAAGUCAGGAGACCUGCCUGUUUAGAUAAAACGAC